rnacentral:rRNA from 1 species
GACGAACGCUGGCGGCGUGCUUAACACAUGCAAGUCGAACGGUGAAGCCCUUCGGGGUGGAUCAGUGGCGAACGGGUGAGUAACACGUGAGCAACCUGCCCCUGGCUCUGGGACAACCACUGGAAACGGUGGCUAGUACCGGAUACGACCCGCCUCGGCAUCGAGUGUGGGUGGAAAGUUUUUCGGCUGGGGAUGGGCUCGCGGCCUAUCAGCUUGUUGGUGAGGUGAAGGCUCACCAAGGCGACGACGGGUAGCCGGCCUGAGAGGGCGACCGGCCACACUGGGACUGAGACACGGCCCAGACUCCUACGGGAGGCAGCAGUGGGGAAUAUUGCACAAUGGGCGAAAGCCUGAUGCAGCGACGCCGCGUGAGGGAUGACGGCCUUCGGGUUGUAAACCUCUUUCAGCUCCGAAGAAGCGAAAGUGACGGUAGGAGCAGAAGAAGCACCGGCUAACUACGUG